GAAGAGGUAACUUGGAAGCAGAAAAGCAGCACAGCUAUCUUAUCUGACCAAGAAAUGAACAAGUAGGAAGCAAGACGUCUCUGAGCAUACAUCAGGUUUCAGUUUAGGUGCAAAAACGGUGACUCCUGUUUAUACUGAAAAUAAAAUUCCCGCACCAGUGAAGGAAACGGUGAAGCUGGCAUUCUUUCCUAUAAUUUUGAAGGAAAAAGUGACCCUUUGGCAGCCAGCCAUUUCUUAGGAAACACGGGGGUGGGGGGUUGAUUCCUUUCUUGUAAAUGGAGCUUUACACUGUUUACUCAGAAGGAAACCCCACUGUAUUCAACGGUGCUUACUCCCAAGUAACUGGGUCAAGAAAGGGCAGCCUUACACUGCCACCCAAAGCAUUUUCAUUCAGAAGCCAGUCCCACCGAGUACAAUGGGGUUUAUUUUGUUUAAUAUUCUGUUGGGAGCAGCCCAGAGUGGCUGAGGAAACCCAGCCAGAUGGGUGAGGUAUAAAUAAAAAAAAUUGUUUAUUAUUAUUAUUUACUUUCUGGUAUGAUCCUGAUCAUUCUCACAGUUGUUGUUAUUGUUGUUGUUGUUAUAUCCCACCUUCCCAUCCUCCAACAGUGACUCAAGGCAGCUUACUGCUACACUUCUAUUUCAUUUUAUUAAUCUGUGGAAGGUGUGUCGCACAUGAUCCCUUCCUCACACGUUUCCUCCCUCACAACAAUCCUGUGAGGUAGGAUAAGCGGUUGCCAUUAGCUUGAGGUGACCCAUGGGGACAGGACGUUUCUGUGCAAGAGAGAGACGCUCCCUGAUGUAGAAUAAAACAGCCUUAUUUUUCUAGAUUCAACCAGGGAGAAGGGUCGAUGGAAGAUGAUUGGAAAAAAUUCAAAAUAUAUCUUCAAAAGUACUGCAAUAUAAAAGAAUGUUAGAAGGAGGUUGGAAAAAGAAUAUUAGGUCGUUCUGGUAGAUAUGAUAUAAUGGACUAAGCAAAAAUGAGUUGAUGAAAUCGAUGAAUUAGAGGAGGUCUAAUCACAUUAUUUUAAUUUUAAAAUACGUAAAUGAAAAUAAGGUUAGAAGGAUUUGCUGGAAACACGAUCUGAACAAGAAUACAAAACUGGGAGGUGAGAGGAGGUCAUGGAAAUAAGUAAAGGGAAAAGGCUAUGUAAAGGUUUAAUCUGUUUUUGUUUUAUUUUAACUUAAUGUAUUUUUAUAUUUUUUGUCAAGUUUUCUUUUUUAUUCUAUCCUAUUGUUCUUUUUUUUUACUUGUUU